GAUGAAGAACGUAGCGAAAUGCGAUAAGUAAUGCGAAUUGCAGAAUUCAGUGAAUCAUCGAAUCUUUGAACGCACAUUGCGCCCGCCAGUAUUCUGGCGGGCAUGCCUGUCUGAGCGUCGUUUCGAACCUCGCGCCCGGCUUCUGUCGGGGGCGGUGUUGGGGAUCGGCCACACCCUUCAGUGGGAGGCCGGCCCCUAAAUUCAGUGGCGACCACGCUGUAGCCUCCCCUGCGUAGUACUAAAACCACCUCGCAGGCGGAGAGCGGUGCGGCCCGCCGUAAAACCCCCCAACUUUUACAAGGUCGACCUCAGAUCAGGUAGGAAUACCCGCUGAACUUAAGCAUAUCAAUAAGCGGAGGA
rnacentral:misc_RNA from 1 species